rnacentral:rRNA from 1 species
UUGAGACCGGCGCACGGGUGCGUAACGCGUAUGCAACCUACCUUUAUCUGGGGGAUAGCCCGGAGAAAUCCGGAUUAAUACCGCAUAAAAUCACAGUAUUGCAUAAUACAAUGAUCAAACAUUUAUGGGAUGAAGAUGGGCAUGCGUGUCAUUAGCUAGUUGGCGGGGUAACGGCCCACCAAGGCGACGAUGACUAGGGGAUCUGAGAGGAUGACCCCCCACACUGGUACUGAGACACGGACCAGACUCCUACGGGAGGCAGCAGUAAGGAAUAUUGGUCAAUGGAGGCAACUCUGAACCAGCCAUGCCGCGUGCAGGAAGACUGCCCUAUGGGUUGUAAACUGCUUUUAUCCGGGAAUAAACCACAAUACGUGUAUUGUGCUGAAUGUACCGGAAGAAUAAGGAUCGGCUAACUCCGUGCCAGCAGCCGCGGUAAUACGGAGGAUCCAAGCGUUAUCCGGAUUUAUUGGGUUUAAAGGGUGCGUAGGCGGCCCGUUAAGUCAGGGGUGAAAGACGGUAGCUCAACUAUCGCAGUGCCUUUGAUACUGACGGGCUUGAAUGAACUAGAGGUAGGCGGAAUGAGACAGGUAGCGGUGAAAUGCAUAGAUAUGUCUCA